rnacentral:rRNA from 1 species
GCCGGAGGGAAACCGAGUCUUAACCGGGCGUUAAGUUGCAGGGUAUAGACCCGAAACCCGGUGAUCUAGCCAUGGGCAGGUUGAAGGUUGGGUAACACUAACUGGAGGACCGAACCGACUAAUGUUGAAAAAUUAGCGGAUGACCUGUGGCUGGGGGUGAAAGGCCAAUCAAACCGGGAGAUAGCUGGUUCUCCCCGAAAGCUAUUUAGGUAGCGCCUCGUGAAUUCAUCUCCGGGGGUAGAGCACUGUUUCGGCUAGGGGGCCAUCCCGGCUUACCAACCCGAUGCAAACUGCGAAUACCGGAGAAUGUUAUCACGGGAGACACACGGCGGGUGCUAACGUCCGUCGUGAAGAGGGAAACAACCCAGACCGCCAGCUAAGGUCCCAAAGUCAUGGUUAAGUGGGAAACGAUGUGGGAAGGCCCAGACAGCCAGGAUGUUGGCUUAGAAGCAGCCAUCAUUUAAAGAAAGCGUAAUAGCUCACUGGUCGAGUCGGCCUGCGCGGAAGAUGUAACGGGGCUAAACCAUGCACCGAAGCUGCGGCAGCGACGCUGAUGCGUUGUUGGGUAGGGGAGCGUUCUGUAAGCCUGUGAAGGUGGCCUGUGAGGGUUGCUGGAGGUAUCAGAAGUGCGAAUGCUGACAUAAGUAACGAUAAAGCGGGUGAAAAGCCCGCUCGCCGGAAGACCAAGGGUUCCUGUCCAACGUUAAUCGGGGCAGGGUGAGUCGACCCCUAAGGCGAGGCCGAAAGGCGUAGUCGAUGGGAAACGGGUUAAUAUUCCCGUACUUGGUGUUACUGCGAAGGGGGGACGGAGAAGGCUAUGUUGGCCGGGCGACGGUUGUCCCGGUUUAAGCGUGUAGGUGUGUGUUCCAGGUAAAUCCGGUUCACUUUAACACUGAGGCGUGAUGACGAGGCACUACGGUGCUGAAGCAACAAAUGCCCUGCUUCCAGGAAAAGCCUCUAAGCAUCAGGUAACAUCAAAUCGUACCCCAAACCGACACAGGUGGUCAGGUAGAGAAUACCAAGGCGCUUGAGAGAACUCGGGUGAAGGAACUAGGCAAAAUGGUGCCGUAACUUCGGGAGAAGGCACGCUGACACGUAGGUGAAGUGAUUUACUCAUGGAGCUGAAGUCAGUCGAAGAUACCAGCUGGCUGCAACUGUUUAUUAAAAACACAGCACUGUGCAAACACGAAAGUGGACGUAUACGGUGUGACGCCUGCCCGGUGCCGGAAGGUUAAUUGAUGGGGUCAGCGCAAGCGAAGCUCCUGAUCGAAGCCCCGGUAAACGGCGGCCGUAACUAUAACGGUCCUAAGGUAGCGAAAUUCCUUGUCGGGUAAGUUCCGACCUGCACGAAUGGCGUAAUGAUGGCCAGGCUGUCUCCACCCGAGACUCAGUGAAAUUGAACUCGCUGUGAAGAUGCAGUGUACCCGCGGCAAGACGGAAAGACCCCGUGAACCUUUACUAUAGCUUGACACUGAACAUUGAGCCUUGAUGUGUAGGAUAGGUGGGAGGCUUUGAAGUGUGGACGCCAGUCUGCAUGGAGCCGGCCUUGAAAUACCACCCUUUAAUGUUUGAUGUUCUAACGUGGACCCGUGAUCCGGGUUGCGGACAGUGUCUGGUGGGUAGUUUGACUGGGGCGGUCUCCUCCUAAAGAGUAACGGAGGAGCACGAAGGUUGGCUAAUCCUGGUCGGACAUCAGGAGGUUAGUGCAAUGGCAUAAGCCAGCUUGACUGCGAGCGUGACGGCGCGAGCAGGUGCGAAAGCAGGUCAUAGUGAUCCGGUGGUUCUGAAUGGAAGGGCCAUCGCUCAACGGAUAAAAGGUACUCCGGGGAUAACAGGCUGAUACCGCCCAAGAGUUCAUAUCGACGGCGGUGUUUGGCACCUCGAUGUCGGCUCAUCACAUCCUGGGGCUGAAGUAGGUCCCAAGGGUAUGGCUGUUCGCCAUUUAAAGUGGUACGCGAGCUGGGUUUAGAACGUCGUGAGACAGUUCGGUCCCUAUCUGCCGUGGGCGCUGGAGAACUGAGGGGGGCUGCUCCUAGUACGAGAGGACCGGAGUGGACGCAUCACUGGUGUUCGGGUUGUCAUGCCAAUGGCACUGCCCGGUAGCUAAAUGCGGAAGAGAUAAGUGCUGAAAGCAUCUAAGCACGAAACUUGCCCCGA